ACGGGGUGCAGCAGGCGCGAAACCUUCACAAUGUGCGAAAGCGCGAUGAGGGGAUCCCAAGUGCUUGCUCGUAAGAGUAAGCUGUUUUUAUGUCUAAAAAGCAUAGAGAGUAAGGGCUGGGUAAGACGGGUGCCAGCCGCCGCGGUAAUACCUGCAGCUCAAGUAGUGAUCGCUAUUAUUGGGCCUAAAACGUUCGUAGCCGGUUUGAUAAAUGCCUGGGUAAAUAGUGUAGCUUAACUAUACGAAUUCCGGGUAGACUGUUAAACUUGAGACCGGGAGAGGCUAGAGGUACUCCUGGGGUAGAGGUGAAAUUCUGUAAUCCUGAGGGGACCACCAGUGGCGAAGGCGUCUAGCUAGAACGGGUCUGACGGUGAGGAACGAAGCCCUGGGGCGCGAACCGGAUUAGAUACCCGGGUAGUCCAGGGUGUAAACGCUGCUUGCUUGAUGUUAGUUGGGCUCCGAGCCCAAUUAGUGUCGGAGAGAAGUUGUUAAGCAAGCUGCCUGGGAAGUACGAUCGCAAGA
rnacentral:rRNA from 1 species